AAAAUGAUACAGGGGAGACAUCAUGAUCCCAAAGGUGGUUCUCCCAGGGCGAGGCUCUGCCAUCGCACUCGGCCGUGCUGCCUGCUAUGAUUUCCCCACAUAUGGGAGACUCGACUGCAUAAUUUCUGCUAGUGGGGGACUACGUUCGUGCUCCCCCCUG
rnacentral:snRNA from 12 species